rnacentral:rRNA from 1 species
CAAAUCAGGUAGGACUACCCGCUGAACUUAAGCAUAUCAAUAAGCGGAGGAAAAGAAACUAACAAGGAUUCCCCUAGUAACUGCGAGUGAAGCGGGAAAAGCUCAAAUUUAAAAUCUGGCAGCCUUCGGUUGUCCGAGUUGUAGUCUGGAGAAGCGUUUUCCGCGCUGGACCGUGUAUAAGUCCCUUGGAAUAGGGCGUCAUAGAGGGUGAGAAUCCCGUCUUUGACACGGACUACCAGUGCUUUGUGAUGCGCUCUCAAAGAGUCGAGUUGUUUGGGAAUGCAGCUCAAAAUGGGUGGUAAAUUCCAUCUAAAGCUAAAUAUUGGCGAGAGACCGAUAGCGAACAAGUACCGUGAGGGAAAGAUGAAAAGCACUUUGGAAAGAGAGUUAAACAGUACGUGAAAUUGCUGAAAGGGAAACGCUUGAAGUCAGUCGCGUUAUGCAGAACUCAGCCUGGCUUUUGCUUGGUGUAUUUUCUGUAUGACGGGUCAGCAUCAAUUUUGAUCGCUGGAAAAAGGCCUCAGAAAUGUGGCACCUUCGGGUGUGUUAUAGUCUGGGGUCAUAUACAGCGGUUGGGAUUGAGGUCUGCAGCACGCCUUUAUGGCUGGGGUUCGCCCACAUUCGUGCUUAGGAUGCUGGCGUAAUGGCUUUAAACGACCCGUCUUGAAACACGGACCAAGGAGUCUAACAUGCCUGCGAGUGUUUGGGUGGAAAACCCGAGCGCGUAAUGAAAGUGAAAGUUGAGA